rnacentral:misc_RNA from 1 species
GAUGAAGAACGUAGCGAAAUGCGAUACGUAAUGUGAAUUGCAGAAUUCAGUGAAUCAUCGAAUCUUUGAACGCAUAUUGCGCUCUCUGGUAUUCCGGAGAGCAUGCUUGUUUGAGUAUCAGUAAACACCUCAACUUCCAUAUCUUUUUUGAAAUGGGAGUUGGACUUGAGUGAUCCCAACGCUUUUCCUCACCGAAAAGUGGCGGGUUACUUGAAAUGCAGGUGCAGCUGGACUUUUCUCUGAGCUAUAAGCAUAUCUAUUUAGUCUGCCUAAAAAACAGAUUAUUACCUUUGCUGCAGCUAACAUAAAGGAGAUUAGUUCUUGUGCUGACUGAUGCAGGAUUCACAAAGACAGGCUUCGGCCGACUUUGUAAACUCGAUCUCAAAUCAAGUAAGACUACCCGCUGAACUUAAGCAUACAAUAAGCGGAGGA